UCCUGGGUGGCUCAGUGGUUGAGCAUCUGCCUUUGGCUCAGGUCAUGAUCCCAGGGUCCUGGGAUCGAGUCCCAGAUCAGGCU
rnacentral:tRNA from 1 species